rnacentral:lncRNA from 1 species
UAUACCUUUAUCCCUCAAAUCUACAACGUUCCACUAAUGUUGAGCAGAGCAUUAUACAAGUAAGGUUUGGUGAUAAAUUCUCCAAAGCAUAAUUACUGAGUCAAAGGUAUGCAAGAGGUGAUCAAAGAUCUGAUGAAUAUUUUAAAAAGUUAUUACAGUAAAAAACACAUUGCCAUUAACUUCCUCAAAAUACUCCCACAUGAUACAAAUAUACUUGUCCCACUGUUCUUGGUAUUUUCUGGAGUAGUUCUGGAAGUCUUUUGUGAGUGUCUUUAGUUGCACUGUUGUAGUUGCCUCUAUUUCCUGAACUGAUUCAAAACUUCCAUUUCAUGGUCAUCUUGAUUUUUGGGAAGAGCUAGAAAUUGCGUGCCAGAGCUAGAAGUUGCGUGGAUAAGAAAAUACUGUAACAUUUUUUACCAGACUGCGUUUCUAUGGAUUGUACUCUUAACACAUUUACCAGAUUUUUUUCUUCCCUAGUGAAGACACCUACAAAAAAUGACUUCCAGAACUGCUUCAGAAAGUGGCAUGAAUGAUGGGGUAAGUGUGUUCGAAGGGGGGACACUCAGAGGAAACUUAAUGACACUGUAUCUUUUGCUGUAACAAUUUUUAAAUUUAAACAUUUACUGUAUUUUUAUAGUACCUCAUAUAUUCAUAUUUGUAAAUGUUUAUUUUAAACUUAUAUUUACAUUUGAUAGAUCAUGAAACCGUUUCCAAAAGGAUUAUUACAGUCUACUGCCUUACAGACUAUGAAAGUUCUCUCUCUCUCUGGUGUGGCUGUCUCUGAUGUUGUCAUCAAGGUAUUCAGUGACGUGAAGGUGCACAAAUCCUCAGUACUGGAGGAAGUGAAGAAGGCAAUGCUCCUCUACCUGAGUGAGGACCAGAAGAGCAUCCUCCGGGAGGAAGGCAAGGAACAGAUCAAGUUGCUCUCAGGGAGGAGGCCAAGGGAGGUUUCCACAGAAAAGAAGACAAACCAUUGGAGUAUGACUGGAGUAACACAGCUGCUAACCAUGGAAUACCAGAAGCCAUCAGAAGUUACAAGCUGUCAAACAGACUCGCCCCUUGCACCUGCGGAAGGAGUGUGGCCCUGCCUUCAUCUUGAUUUUCAGUUUUCUAAAAUUCACUCUGGACUUCUAGCUCCAGAAUACAAGAGAGUAAGUUCAUGUUUUCCCUUUCUUUUUUUUUUUUUAAAGAUAAAUAAAACUCUUAAUUAAGCAAAGUAUCAGUACACACUUACAAAAGAAAACAGUUCAAAAUACCACAGAACACAUGAAAAGAUAAUCCACAUCAUUAUAGUUAAAGGAUCUGAAUAGACUUUUCUCCAUAGGAGAUUACAGAUGGCCAGUAAACACAGGAAAAUCUUUCAGCAUCAUGAACCACUAGUGAAAAGCACGUCAAAAUCACAGCUGUUUACCCUUUACACUCAUCAGAAUGUUUGUGAUAAAAAGAUGAAAUAAAUAUGAGUGAUGAUGUGGAGAAAUAAGAGCAUUUAUACACUGUUGGAAAGAGUAAAAUAUGAAGUCACUUUGUAAAACUGGAAGAUGCUGAACGUUUUAAAUAUAGAGUUACUAUAUGACCCAUAAAUUCCAUUUUUAGGUGCAUAGGUAAGAGAAAUGAAAACCCAUGUUCAUAUGAAGAGCCGUGCACAAAUGUUUAUAUAGCCGUUGUACUCAUAAUAACCAAAGCGUGGAGAUGAGACAAAGGUGCAAAAACUAAUCAGUGCACAGACUCUGUGUCAUGUGAUUUUAUUUGUCAGUACAGAAGAAUGAAGAAAUUAUACACACUGCAGUAUAGAUGCAUCUUGGAAGACAUGCUAAGCAAAAUCAAAUUUUUACUUUCCUAAGCCAACCGAUUUGUGGUGAUUUGUUAUAGCACAUGUAGGAAAUGAACACAAUGUUAUUGUGGUAUAGUAUUUUAUUUUCAGUAUUUUUCUUAAUUUAUUUGAAAGUUUACAUUCAGUAAAAUUUGCUCUCUUGGGGGUCCAGCUUUAUGAGUACUGACAACUAUUACUCGUGGAACCACCAUCAUUAUGAAGAAAUGGAGCAAUUUCAUCACCUCUCAUUCUCUCCCCUCACCCCCUCCCCAGUUUUCCUGCUACUACUUUUCAGGCUCUCCCUGUACUCUUAAUUCCUGGAAAUCUCAGAACAGUUCAUCACUUUAUUUCUGAAUUUUCCAGAAUUCCAUAUAAAUUGAGUCAUUCAAUAUGUAGGUUUUGAGUCUGUCUCCUUUUAUUUCAUAUAAUACAGGUGAAAUUUAUCCCAUGUUUUUGCAGGUAUUAAUAGUUCAUUCCUUUUUAUUCCUGUAUACUAUUCCAUUUCAUGUAUGUACCACAGUUUAUUUAUUUC